AUCUUCCAGGUCUGGAGCAGUGGCCUGGGACUGACUGCCCUUCUCCUGGGUGGAAAUCUGUUUCCUGGAUUUUAACCCUUCUUUGGUUCACUCCUCGAUUUUACUGGCACACAACUUGCAGUUUUCGUAAGAAUGGAUGAGUGGGAGAAAACAACCAUGUCCAGCCCCCUUCCUAUAACUACAAGAAUCUUCCUACUUUUUCCUUAUGUGUUUUCCUCUUGAAGAGAAAAGCUGACGAUUCAGCCACGGUGAGUGGCUGGUCACAGAAGAUGGCUGCUUCUUGAGGCCUAGGACCAAGAUCUGCUCCACCACACACUUGCUGGGAUAAUGACCCCUCUUGUCAGCACAACUGGAAUAGAUACAACAAAUGGCAUUAGGAGAAGGAGAGGAAUAGGGGUUUGGACUGGUUACCAGGUCACCAUCCCGAACCUUGUGAGUUCCCCUCCCAUCUUUCUCUGUGGAGGCAUGAAA